GUUGUUGGGUAGGGGAGCGUUCUGUAAGCCUGUGAAGGUGUGCUGUGAGGCAUGCUGGAGGUAUCAGAAGUGCGAAUGCUGACAUAAGUAACGAUAAAGCGGGUGAAAAGCCCGCUCGCCGGAAGACCAAGGGUUCCUGUCCAACGUUAAUCGGGGCAGGGUGAGUCGACCCCUAAGGCGAGGCCGAAAGGCGUAGUCGAUGGGAAACAGGUUAAUAUUCCUGUACUUGGUGUUACUGCGAAGGGGGGACGGAGAAGGCUAUGUUGGCCGGGCGACGGUUGUCCCGGUUUAAGCGUGUAGGCUGGUUUUCCAGGCAAAUCCGGAAAAUCAAGGCUGAGGCGUGAUGACGAGGCACUACGGUGCUGAAGCAACAAAUGCCCUGCUUCCAGGAAAAGCCUCUAAGCAUCAGGUAACAUCAAAUCGUACCCCAAACCGACACAGGUGGUCAGGUAGAGAAUACCAAGGCGCUUGAGAGAACUCGGGUGAAGGAACUAGGCAAAAUGGUGCCGUAACUUCGGGAGAAGGCACGCUGAUAUGUAGGUGAAGUCCCUCGCGGAUGGAGCUGAAAUCAGUCGAAGAUACCAGCUGGCUGCAACUGUUUAUUAAAAACACAGCACUGUGCAAACACGAAAGUGGACGUAUACGGUGUGACGCCUGCCCGGUGCCGGAAGGUUAAUUGAUGGGGUUAGCGCAAGCGAAGCUCUUGAUCGAAGCCCCGGUAAACGGCGGCCGUAACUAUAACGGUCCUAAGGUAGCGAAAUUCCUUGUCGGGUAAGUUCCGACCUGCACGAAUGGCGUAAUGAUGGCCAGGCUGUCUCCACCCGAGACUCAGUGAAAUUGAACUCGCUGUGAAGAUGCAGUGUACCCGCGGCAAGACGGAAAGACCCCGUGAACCUUUACUAUAGCUUGACACUGAACAUUGAGCCUUGAUGUGUAGGAUAGGUGGGAGGCUUUGAAGUGUGGACGCCAGUCUGCAUGGAGCCGACCUUGAAAUACCACCCUUUAAUGUUUGAUGUUCUAACGUUGACCCGUGAUCCGGGUUGCGGACAGUGUCUGGUGGGUAGUUUGACUGGGGCGGUCUCCUCCUAAAGAGUAACGGAGGAGCACGAAGGUUGGCUAAUCCUGGUCGGACAUCAGGAGGUUAGUGCAAUGGCAUAAGCCAGCUUGACUGCGAGCGUGACGGCGCGAGCAGGUGCGAAAGCAGGUCAUAGUGAUCCGGUGGUUCUGAAUGGAAGGGCCAUCGCUCAACGGAUAAAAGGUACUCCGGGGAUAACAGGCUGAUACCGCCCAAGAGUUCAUAUCGACGGCGGUGUUUGGCACCUCGAUGUCGGCUCAUCACAUCCUGGGGCUGAAGUAGGUCCCAAGGGUAUGGCUG
rnacentral:rRNA from 1 species